UACGUAGGGCGCAAGCGUUGUCCGGAAUUAUUGGGCGUAAAGAGCUCGUAGGCGGUCUGUCGCGUCCGUUGUGAAAACUCGAGGCUCAACCUCGGGCUUGCAGUGGAUACGGGCAGACUAGAGUGCGGUAGGGGAGACUGGAAUUCCUGGUGUAGCGGUGGAAUGCGCAGAUAUCAGGAGGAACACCGAUGGCGAAGGCAGGUCUCUGGGCCGCAACUGACGCUGAGGAGCGAAAGCCAGGGGAGCAAGCGGG
rnacentral:rRNA from 1 species